ACUACGGGAGGCUGCAGUGGGGAAUAUUGCGCAAUGGGCGAAAGCCUGACGCAGCGACGCCGCGUGAGGGAUGAAGGUCUUCGGAUCGUAAACCUCUGUCAGCAGGGAAGAACGGUCACUGUGCUAAUCAGCAGUGAAUUGACGGUACCUGCAAAGGAAGCACCGGCUAACUCCGUGCCAGCAGCCGCGGUAAUACGGCGGGUGCGAGCGUUAAUCGGAAUUAUUGGGCGUAAAGCGCUCGUAGGCGGUAUGUAAUGUCAAGGGGGAAAUCCCCGGGCUAAACGUGGGAACUGCCUUUGAAACUGGCGAGCUGGAGUGUGUGAGAGGAUAGUGGAAUUCCAGGUGUAGGAGUGAAAGCCGUAGAUAUCUGGAGGAACAUCAGUGGCGAAGGCGACUAUCUGGCACAUAACUGACGCUGAGGAGCGAAAGCGUGGGUAGCAAACAGGAUUAGAUACCCCGGUAGUC
rnacentral:rRNA from 1 species